rnacentral:lncRNA from 1 species
CCACGAUCGUAGUGUGAUGAAGAAAACAUGGAGUUUACAAGUCAACGAUCGUAGUAUGCUCUCGGGAUCGUAGAAUCAACAACACGAGCAAGCGAAGAUCGUAGUGUGCAAAGGUCUAAGGGAAAUCGUAGUGCUCUCGACUGAUAGCAUCGUAGUAUGCAAAGAAGUCAAGACGCUACGAUCUAAAUCGUAGAGUACCACGAUCCAAAAUCGUAGAGCA